GCUGGGCAUGGUGGUGUGUGCCUGUAGUCCCAGCUACUGGGAAGGCUGAGGCAGGAGAAUUGCUUGAACCCAGGAGGCAGAGGUUGCGGUGAGCCGAGAUCGUGCCAUUGCAUUCCAGUCUGGGUAACAACAGUGAAACUCCGUCUCAAAAAGAAAAAAUAAAUAAGAAAGAAAAGUUUGUAUUAAAUCAUUGCUAAAUUCUUUUUUUUUUUUUUGAGAUGGAGUUUUGCUCUUGUUACCCAGACUAGAGUGCAAUGGCGCGAUCUCAGCUCACCACAACCUCUGCCUCCUGGGUUCAAGCAAUUCUCCCGCCUCAG
rnacentral:SRP_RNA from 1 species